CCUCUGUAGCUCAGUUGGUUAGAGCGCUGCACCAGAAUCGCAGGGUCACAGACCGAUUCCUUGGCCAGAGGA